rnacentral:rRNA from 1 species
CGCGUAGGCGGUUUCUAAAGUCAGAUGUGAAAGCCCGGGGCUUAACCCCGGAAGUGCAUUUGAAACUUAGGGACUUGAGUAUGGGAGAGGGAAGUGGAAUUCCUGGUGUAGCGGUGAAAUGCGUAGAUAUCAGGAGGAACAUCGGUGGCGAAGGCGACUUCCUGGACCAAUACUGACGCUGAGGCGCGAAGGCGUGGGGAGCAAACA